GCCCGGAUAGUAUAGCGGUAGUAUUGGGGACUGUGACUCCCUAGAUGCGGGAUCAAUACUCGCUCCGGGCC
rnacentral:tRNA from 1 species